AGUGCUCGAAAGAGAACCAUCACACAGGUGCUGCAUGGCUGUCGUCAGCUCGUGUCGUGAGAUGUUGGGUUAAGUCCCGCAACGAGCGCAACCCUUGUCAUUAGUUGCUACGAAAGGGCACUCUAAUGAGACUGCCGGUGACAAACCGGAGGAAGGUGGGGAUGACGUCAAGUCCUCAUGGCCCUUAUGGGUAGGGCUUCACACGUCAUACAAUGGUACAUACAGAGGGCCGCCAACCCGCGAGGGGGAGCUAAUCCCAGAAAGUGUAUCGUAGUCCGGAUUGGAGUCUGCAACUCGACUCCAUGAAGUUGGAAUCGCUAGUAAUCGCGGAUCAGCAUGUCGCGGUGAAUACGUUCCCGGGUCUUGUACACACCG
rnacentral:rRNA from 1 species